rnacentral:snRNA from 1 species
AUCACUUCUCGGCCUGUUUGGCUACGAGCAGGUGUACUGGUUGUUCUUAUCAGAUUACUAGCUGAUACGUUCUCUACCUGGGGAUCAUAUAUCAAAUUGUUUUUUGGACAAAGGAGAUCAGAUCAGCAACAGCUGUAGUUGUUGUUGUUGUUGUUGU